GACGAACGCUGGCGGCGUGCUUAACACAUGCAAGUCGAACGGAAAGACCCUGCGUUUGUGGGGUGCUCGAGUGGCGAACGGGUGAGUAACACGUGAGUAACCUGCCCUUGACUUUGGGAUAACUUCAGGAAACUGGGGCUAAUACCGGAUAGGAGCUCCUGCUGCAUGGUGGGGGUUGGAAAGUUUCGGCGGUUGGGGAUGGACUCGCGGCUUAUCAGCUUGUUGGUGGGGUAGUGGCUUACCAAGGCUUUGACGGGUAGCCGGCCUGAGAGGGUGACCGGCCACAUUGGGCCUGCGAGACGGACCAGAAGCCUACGGGAGGCAGUAGUGGGGAAUAUUGCACAAUGGGCGGAAGCCUGAUGUAGCAACGCCGCGUGCGGGAUGACGGCCUUCGGGUUGUAAACCGCUUUCGCAUGUGACGAAGCGUGAGUGACGGUAAUGGGUAAAGAAGCACCGGCUAACUACGUG
rnacentral:rRNA from 1 species